CGGACGGGUGAGUAAUGCUUGGGAAUCUGGCUUAUGGAGGGGGAUAACUGUGGGAAACUGCAGCUAAUACCGCGUAUUCUCUGAGGAGGAAAGGGUGGGACCUUAGGGCCACCUGCCAUAAGAUGAGCCCAAGUGGGAUUAGGUAGUUGGUGGGGUAAAGGCCUACCAAGCCUGCGAUCUCUAGCUGGUCUGAGAGGAUGACCAGCCACACUGGAACUGAGACACGGUCCAGACUCCUACGGGAGGCAGCAGUGGGGAAUAUUGCGCAAUGGGGGGAACCCUGACGCAGCCAUGCCGCGUGAAUGAAGAAGGCCUUCGGGUUGUAAAGUUCUUUCGGUAAUGAGGAAGGGAUGUUGUUAAAUAGAUAGCAUCAUUGACGUUAAUUACAGAAGAAGCACCGGCUAACUCCGUGCCAGCAGCCGCGGUAAUACGGAGGGUGCGAGCGUUAAUCGGAAUAACUGGGCGUAAAGGGCACGCAGGCGGACUUUUAAGUGAGAUGUGAAAUCCCCGAGCUUAACUUGGGAACUGCAUUUCAGACUGGGAGUCUAGAGUACUUUAGGGAGGGGUAGAAUUCCACGUGUAGCGGUGAAAUGCGUAGAGAUGUGGAGGAAUACCGAAGGCGAAGGCAGCCCCUUGGGAAUGUACUGACGCUCAUGUGCGAAAGCG
rnacentral:rRNA from 1 species